rnacentral:lncRNA from 1 species
AGGGCAGAGAGGAGAGCCUGCAGAAGAAGCAGUGGACCACGGUACUGGUUCUGGAAGUUCUGAGCCCCUUCUGGCUGAGGAGCAGGGAGUACCUAUUUGAGAUCUUUGGAACAGGUGUGAGAACUGCAAGGUCAUAAACAAUCAAAUGACUGACCACUAUGGCAGACUAAUCACCGCCUACAUGAAGUUAGCCUUUGCACAUUUGAUAUGAUUUCACAAUGAUGUUCAAGCCGGGAACGAACAACCUGUUGGGUGCAGAUGAACCAUCUACAGUGUUCAUUAAUUUCCAAGAAUCACCUUGAAUCACUGAGGUCAAAAGGAAAAGCAGGUAACAAAUUUCACUUAAGAAUCCAGGGGCCAGCCCGGUGGCGCAGCAGUUAAGUUCGCAAGUUCUGCUUCUUGGCAGCCUGGGGUUCUCCAGGAAGAUGGGCAUGGAUGUUAGCUCAGGGCCAGUCUUCCUCAGCAAAAAGAGGAAGAUUGGCAGUAGUUAGCUCAGGGCUAAUCUUCCUCAAGAAAAAAAAAAAGAAUCCAAUAAAAAUCCUGAAGAGUCCCAUUAGCUGUGUGAUUUAAGAGCUUAACUGUGAUAUGAACUUACUUCUGACUCUUGGGUGAAAUAUUUGCCCUCUUUGCACCAGUGUAACUCUGUAAAUUAAUAUUAACCAAUAUACUGAUUUUAUAACUGGAAGGGACACACCGUCAAGAUCAUUUUGUUGAUCUCCU